AUAUAUAGAAAUUGUUUGAAGAUAACAUAGAAAUUGUGGUUUUAAAUGAUAAUUUUGGUUNUUCCCAUGAUCUUCAAAAUUUUAAAAAAAUAUACCACCUUUUGUUUUUUAUGAUUUUUCCCACGGGCAUAAAUACCUCUAAAUAAAAGUUGAUUUUAGGACUUUUGACUUAAAUUUUUUGAUACUGAAGUGUGAGAGAUUUUGCGAUUAGGUAUCAAAGCUAAGUCAAAAGCCCUAAAAUCAGCUUCGAUUUGUGAUGAAGUGUGACUGAUAAGUAAUAGUAAAUAAAUUGAGGGAGUCAUCUGCAAUUCAAGGCUGCGGAGGGAUUGGAAAUGCAAAGUUGUUCAGCUGAAGAAAAAGAGCUAAGUGGAAGUAAUAACUAAUUGCAGAAGCUGGCCAUCCUCUUCACUUCAUGCAACAUUUCCAGAUCUUGAUCUACGACUUAGAUUACCUCUUCUUAGUUGUAUAAAUUCUUUAUUUUCAGUUUUUUGGUCUUAGUUUGAUAGUUCAUAGCAUCUCAUAUAAACUCUUGUGUCUUUGAGCUGAGAUUCAUAACAUAAAUAAAGAAAUUUACUGAUCGC
rnacentral:lncRNA from 1 species